rnacentral:rRNA from 1 species
UACAGAGGGGGCAAGCGUUGUUCGGAAUUACUGGGCGUAAAGGGCGCGUAGGCGGCCUUCUAAGUCGGACGUGAAAUCCCUCGGCUUAACCGAGGAACUGCGUCCGAGACUGAAAGGCUUGAAUCCGGGAGAGGGAUGUGGAAUUCCAGGUGUAGCGGUGAAAUGCGUAGAUAUCUGGAGGAACACCGGUGGCGAAGGCGGCAUCCUGGACCGGCAUUGACGCUGAGGCGCGAAAGCUAGGGGAGCAAACGGGG